UACGUAGGGUGCAAGCGUUGUCCGGAAUUAUUGGGCGUAAAGAGCUCGUAGGCGGUUUGUCACGUCUGCUGUGAAAACUCGGGGCUUAACUCCGGGCCUGCAGUGGGUACGGGCAGACUAGAGUGCGGUAGGGGGAGACUGGAAUUCCUGGUGUAGCGGUGAAAUGCGCAGAUAUCAGGAGGAACACCGAUGGCGAAGGCAGGUCUCUGGGCCACUACUGACGCUGAGAAGCGAAAGCAUGGGGAGCGAACAGG
rnacentral:rRNA from 1 species